CACGGGGGGAGCAAGCGUUGUUCGGAAUCACUGGGCGUAAAGGGCGUGUAGGCGGUCAGGUAAGUGGAAUGUGAAAUCCCGAGGCUCAACCUCGGAACUGCCUUCGAUACUGGCGAUCUUCGAGUCCGGGAGAGGUGAGUGGAACUCCGAGUGUAGAGGUGAAAUUCGUAGAUAUUCGGAAGAACACCAGUGGCGAAGGCGGCUCACUGGCCCGGUACUGACGCUGAAAUACGAAAGCGUGGGGAGCAAACAGG
rnacentral:rRNA from 1 species